rnacentral:rRNA from 1 species
AAAAACAUCGCCUCUUGCAUAACCACAGUAUAAGAGGUCCCGCCUGCCCAGUGACAACUUAGUUCAACGGCCGCGGUAUUUUGACCGUGCAAAGGUAGCGUAAUCACUUGUCUUUUAAAUGAAGACCUGUAUGAAUGGCAUAACGAGGGCUUAACUGUCUCCUUCCCCUGGUCAAUGAAAUUGAUCUCCCCGUGCAGAAGCGGGGAUAAAACCAUAAGACGAGAAGACCCUAUGGAGCUUUAGACACACAGGUGGACCAUGUCAAAUACCCCCAGCUAAGGGCCUGAACUAAAUGGAACCUGCCUUGAUGUCUUCGGUUGGGGCGACCAUGGGGAAUACAAAACCCCCACGUGGAAAGGGAGCACACCCCUAAGUUACUUCUUCUCCCGCAAGCCAGAGCAACAGCUCUAACAAGCAGAAAUUCUGACCAUACUGAUCCGGUAAAACCGAUCAACGAACCAAGUUACCCUAGGGAUAACAGCGCAAUCCCCUUUUAGAGCCCAUAUCGACAAGGGGGUUUACGACCUCGAUGUUGGAUCAGGACAUCCUAAUGGUGCAGCCGCUAUUAAGGGUUCGUUUGUUCAACGAUUAAAGUCCUACGUGAUCUG